rnacentral:rRNA from 1 species
UACAGAGGUCUCAAGCGUUGUUCGGAUUCAUUGGGCGUAAAGGGUGCGUAGGUGGCGCCGUAAGUCAGGUGUGAAAUUUCGGAGCUUAACUCCGAAACUGCAUUUGAUACUGCGGUGCUUGAGGACUGGAGAGGAGACUGGAAUUUACGGUGUAGCAGUGAAAUGCGUAGAGAUCGAUAAGGAAGACCAGUGGCGAAGGCGGGUCUCUGGACAGUCCUGACACUGAGGCAGCGAAGGCCAGGGGAGCAAACGGG